rnacentral:rRNA from 1 species
AGAGUUUGAUCAUGGCUCAGAGCGAACGCUGGCGGCAGGCCUAACACAUGCAAGUCGAACGAACCUUCGGGUUAGUGGCGGACGGGUGAGUAACACGUGGGAACGUGCCUUUUGGUUCGGAACAACUCAGGGAAACUUGAGCUAAUACCGAAUGUGCCCUUCGGGGGAAAGAUUUAUCGCCAUUAGAGCGGCCCGCGUCUGAUUAGCUUGUUGGUGAGGUAAAGGCUCACCAAGGCUACGAUCAGUAGCUGGUCUGAGAGGAUGAUCAGCCACAUUGGGACUGAGACACGGCCCAAACUCCUACGGGAGGCAGCAGUGGGGAAUCUUGCGCAAUGGGCGAAAGCCUGACGCAGCCAUGCCGCGUGAAUGAUGAAGGUCUUAGGAUUGUAAAAUUCUUUCACCGGGGACGAUAAUGACGGUACCCGGAGAAGAAGCCCCGGCUAACUUCGUGCCAGCAGCCGCGGUAAUACGAAGGGGGCUAGCGUUGCUCGGAAUUACUGGGCGUAAAGGGAGCGUAGGCGGAUAGUUUAGUCAGAGGUGAAAGCCCAGGGCUCAACCUUGGAAUUGCCUUUGAUACUGGCUAUCUUGAGUUUGGGAGAGGUGAGUGGAACUCCGAGUGUAGAGGUGAAAUUCGUAGAUAUUCGGAAGAACACCAGUGGCGAAGGCGACUCACUGGCCCAAUACUGACGCUGAGGCUCGAAAGCGUGGGGAGCAAACAGGAUUAGAUACCCUGGUAGUCCACGCCGUAAACGAUGAGUGCUAGUUGUCGGCAUGCAUGCAUGUCGGUGACGCAGCUAACG